CACAGCUGUCACAACAUCUGACAAAUAUUCACAGCCAAGGAUAUGACCUAGCAAGUCUGAAUGCACUUUCUCAUUUUUCUCAUAUUUUCACAUUUAUCUCUCCUUCAUUCAGAAGCAUUUGUCAAUCUGCCUCUAUCCAUGGCAGCCCUUCUUAUUUUAAUGUUCUCACUCUUACCCACAAACUAAAUUUACAUUUCUUGCUGUUAUAAAUUUUAUAUUUUUGUGUGUGGAGAAACAUUCCAUCAAGAAGACUGAAGCCCAGUAAACUCCCAAAGACAAGACUUUCAGAAGGUCUGAAGACAAGUCACAUCAAACCACUGACCUAAGAAAAAUGGAAUUAAUGUUGCAACUGCAUUCUCCUAACUUCUCACUGGACUUGAGAUGGCAGGUAUGGUCAAGAGAGACACUGGAAGAUGGAAGUUACUUCAGUGUUCCAGUUGCUGGUGUAGCCAGGGCUUCACAGCGUGGAAGUAUGGCAUCAUGAUGUCUACUGCACAUCUAUUCCCAACCCCAUAUUCAGUUGUUUCAUGUAGUCUCUUGAAAUCUAUGGAAACUAGAAAACACUACAAAUAAAGCCUUGAUUUAUUGUUUUGUUGAUUGUCUUGACUUAAGAAACUGAUAGACAAUGUGUUAUUAAUGCAGAUUAAACUUAAAAAUGUUUACCUCAGUGGCCGUUAUACUGUGAAUACCACAAAAACUGAGCAAAUAUUUUUCUAGUAUUUGAAAAGUAUUAUCCAAUUCAGCAAAUAAUGUCACUUUUAAGUGAAUAAAGUAUGGGCAUGCCUUCAUUGCUUUAGUUUCUUGUUACUUGUAAACAC
rnacentral:lncRNA from 10 species